rnacentral:rRNA from 1 species
GAUGAACGCUGACAGAAUGCUUAACACAUGCAAGUCAACUGUGACGGACGGGUGAGUAACGCGUAAAGAACUUGCCUCACAGUUAGGGACAACAUUUGGAAACGAAUGCUAAUACCUGAUACUGUGAGAGAGCUUUGCGUCCCAUUAGCUAGCUGGAGAGGUAACGGCUCACCAAGGCGCAGAUGGGUAGCCGGCCUGAGAGGGUGAUCGGCCACAAGGGGAAUUAGACACAGCACUAACACCUACGGGACGCAGCAGUGAGGAAAAUUGGACAAGGGACGAAAGUCUGAACGAGCAAUACUGAGAGAACGAAGAAGUUUUCGGAAUGGAAAGUGGUUUCAGUUGGGAAGCGGUACCAGAAGAAGAAGUAACGGCUAAAUACGUGCCAGCAGACGCGGUAAUUC